UACGUAGGGGUGCAACGUUGUCCGGAAUCAUUGGGCGUAAAGAGCUCGUAGGCGGUUUUGUCGCGUCUGCCGUGAAAAGUCCGGGGGCUCAACUCCCGGAUCUGCGGGUGGGGUACGGGGCAGACUGGAGGUAUGCAGGGGAGAACGGAAUUCCUGGUGUAGCGGUGAAAAUGCGCAGAUAUCAGGAGGAACACCGGUGGCGAAGGCGGUUCUCUGGGCAUGUCCUGACGCUGAGGAGCGAAAGUGUGGGGAGCGAACAGG
rnacentral:rRNA from 1 species